CUCCUCCUCGCCCUACAGCCCCGUGCGUCCCCUUUUGCAUCGCCGGCCCUAGGCUCCAUCCCCCUGCGUUGGCAGCUCCCUGCACCACGCGCAUCUGCCCAGUUUCGCAGGCCUCCAUGCACCUCUGUGCGCCGCCACCCCUCGCCCCUUUCUGCUCACGAAGGAGAGGAGCUCGUCGCCCCCUGUCUCGCGCAGCACACUGUCGCCCAAGCGCAGGGAGCAGCGACGGUUCUGGAGCUGAGUCCCCCGUACGUGCAGCAGGUCGCCCCGACCUCCUCCUGCGUCGUACUCGUGAUGCCCAGCACCGCCAUCGUGAACACAAACGCCGCCCCUUCUGUUCCAGGACCGAGCAGACCACCGCUGCCCCCUUCCAGUUUCGAUUCCCGGCACUACAAUCCAUCUCCGCCGUGGGUAAGCGCGAGCUUUUGUUCGCCAUCAAUGGAGGAUCCCGAGCUUUUGCAAUCUGGUCCUUGAAAUCUGCAGCUAAUCGCAAAAAGAAACGCAGUUUGAGAGCUAUGAAGAUGAAGAAUUGCAAGAACAAGAGUUUAAGACUCUGAGCAGUUAUUAUCUGGAUUUGAGGCAAG